rnacentral:rRNA from 1 species
UACGUAGGGUGCAAGCGUUUAAUCGGAAUUACUGGGCGUAAAGCGUGCGCAGGCGGUGAUGUAAGACAGUUGUGAAAGCCCCGGGCUCAACCUGGGAACUGCAUUUGGGACUGCAAGGCUGGAGUACGGCAGAGGGAGGUGGAAUUCCACGUGUAGCAGUGAAAUGCGUAGAGAUGUGGAGGAACACCGAUGGCGAAGGCAGCCUCCUGGGCUAGUACUGACGCUCAUGCACGAAAGCGUGGGGAGCAAACAGG